UACGUAGGGUGCGAGCGUUAAUCGGAAUUACUGGGCGUAAAGCGUGCGCAGGCGGUCUGUUAAGACCGAUGUGAAAUCCCCGGGCUUAACCUGGGAACUGCAUUGGUGACUGGCAGGCUUUGAGUGUGGCAGAGGGAGGUAGAAUUCCACGUGUAGCAGUGAAAUGCGUAGAGAUGUGGAGGAAUACCGAUGGCGAAGGCAGCCUCCCGGGCCAACACUGACGCUCAUGCACGAAAGCGUGGGGAGCAAACAGG
rnacentral:rRNA from 1 species